GUAGGUGAACCUGCGGAAGGAUCAUUACUGAGUUCAUGCCCUAACGGGUAGAUCUCCACCCUUGAAUACAAACUCUUGUUGCUUUGGCGGGCCGCUUCGGCUACUGGCUUCGGCUGGUGAGUGCCCGCCAGAGAACCCUAAACUUUGAAUUACAGUGUCGUCUGAGUACUAUAUAAUAGUUAAAACUUUCAACAACGGAUCUCUUGGUUCUG
rnacentral:misc_RNA from 1 species